rnacentral:rRNA from 1 species
AUGGACGCAGCAGGCAGAGAUGCCAACCCGCUGGCCGGCUACCGGAUAGGCAAAACCCUCGGCAUCGGGUCCUUUGGUAAGGUGAAGAUCGCCGAGCAUAUAAUUACGGGCCACAAGGUCGCAAUCAAGAUCCUCAAUCGCCGUAAGAUCAAGAGCAUGGAGAUGGAAGAGAAAGUGAAAAGAGAAAUCAAGAUACUGAGGUUAUUUAUGCAUCCUCAUAUCAUACGACUUUAUGAGGUCAUAGAUACCCCAGCGGAUAUUUAUGUUGUUAUGGAGUAUGUUAAAUCUGGGGAGUUGUUUGAUUACAUUGUUGAGAAGGGAAGGUUACAAGAGGAAGAAGCUCGUCGCUUUUUCCAGCAAAUUAUAUCUGGUGUGGAAUAUUGCCAUAGAAAUAUGGUGGUUCACCGUGAUCUGAAGCCAGAGAACCUUCUGUUGGAUUCGAAAUGUAAUGUUAAGAUUGCAGAUUUUGGCUUAAGUAAUGUUAUGCGUGACGGCCACUUUCUGAAGACUAGUUGUGGUAGCCCAAAUUAUGCAGCACCCGAGGUGAUAUCAGGUAAACUGUACGCUGGCCCUGAAGUUGAUGUUUGGAGCUGUGGUGUUAUUCUGUAUGCCCUUCUUUGUGGCACUCUUCCAUUUGAUGAUGAGAACAUACCAAACCUUUUUAAGAAAAUAAAGGGGGGAAUAUACACCCUUCCUAGUCACUUGUCUCCUUUAGCAAGAGAUUUGAUCCCAAGAAUGCUGGUUGUUGAUCCUAUGAAGAGGAUUACCAUACGUGAAAUCCGUGAACAUUCAUGGUUCAAAGCUAGACUUCCACGCUAUUUGGCCGUGCCUCCUCCAGACACUGCACAACAAGUCAAAAAGCUUGACGAUGAAACUCUGAAUGAUGUUAUCAAAAUGGGAUUUGACAAGAAUCAGCUCACUGAAUCUCUUCAAAAGAGAUUGCAAAAUGAGGCGACAGUUGCAUAUUAUUUACUCCUGGACAAUAAGCUUCGUACAACCAGUGGCUACCUUGGAGCCGAGUAUCAAGAGUCAAUGGACUCAUCUUUCUCCCAAGUUUCACCUGAAACACCAAGUUCAGCAUCUGAAGCUCGGCAGUAUGGUUCUCCAGGGUUUGGCUUGAGGCACCAUUUUGCAGCUGAGAGGAAAUGGGCUCUUGGUCUUCAGUCUCGAGCACAUCCACGAGAAAUCAUAACUGAAGUGCUUAAAGCUCUGCAAGAGCUAAAUGUUUGCUGGAAGAAGAUUGGGCACUAUAACAUGAAGUGCAGGUGGAGUCCUGGCUUUGUUGAGACUAUGAUGCAUAACAACAAUGGCUUCGGUGUGGAAUCUGCUAUAAUUGAAGCUGAUGGCCUCAGUGACAAAUCAACCCACAUCGUGAAGUUUGAAAUUCAGCUCUACAAAACAAGGGAUGAGAAGUAUCUUCUCGACUUGCAAAGGGUCAGUGGACCACAGCUCCUGUUUCUGGACCUGUGUUCUGCCUUUCUAACCCAGCUGAGAGUCCUCUGA